rfam:[Polyangium] brachysporum strain DSM 7029, complete genome.
UCGCCCCGGCCACCGAGCCGGGGUGAUGUGCAACCCCCGGUACCUGAUCCGGCCGGGGUUC